rnacentral:rRNA from 1 species
UCUAGGCCCCGUCAGGAGCCCGAGUUGUAAUUUGGAGAGGACACUUCGGGCGGCGAGUGAAGCGGCAAGAGCUCAAAUUUGAAAGCUGGCCCCUUCGGGGUCCGCGUUGUAAUUUGCAGAGGAUGCUUCGGGUGCGGCCCCUGUCUAAGUGCCCUGGAACGGGCCGUCAGAGAGGGUGAGAAUCCCGUCUUGGGCAGGGUGCCCGUGCCCGUGUGAAGCUCCUUCGACGAGUCGAGUUGUUUGGGAAUGCAGCUCUAAAUGGGUGGUAAAUUUCAUCUAAAGCUAAAUACCGGCCGGAGACCGAUAGCGCACAAGUAGAGUGAUCGAAAGAUGAAAAGCACUUUGAAAAGAGAGUUAAACAGCACGUGAAAUUGUUGAAAGGGAAGCGCUUGCGACCAGACUCGGCCCCGGGGUUCAGCCAGCACUCGUGCUGGUGUACUUCCCCGGGGGCGGGCCAGCGUCGGUUUGGGCGGCCGGUCAAAGGCCCCAGGAAUGUAUCGCCCUCCGGGGUUGUCUUAUAGCCUGGGGUGCAAUGCGGCCAGCCCGGACCGAGGAACGCGCUUCGGCACGGACGCUGGCGUAAUGGUCGCAAACGACCCGUCUUGAAACACGGGACCA